rnacentral:RNase_P_RNA from 1 species
UGAGCAGCACAGAUGGUCGCGCCUGUAAAGGUGAGGAAAGUCCGGGCUUCACAGGGCAGGGUGCCGGAUAACGUCCGGUGGAGGCGACUCCGAGGAUAGUGCAACAGAAAUAAACCGCCAUGGCAGGUUGCCUGCCGUGGUAAGGAUGGAAAGGUGGCUUAAGAGACCACCGCCCUUCCGGUAACGGAAGGGGCAGAUGUAAACCCCACCCGAAGCAAAGCCAAACAGAAAGCGAUACGGUGGCCCGCCGUGCUUUCGGGUAGGCUGCGCAGUAUCCGCGAGAGCGGAUACUGGAGCCGUAUGGCAACAUACGGUCCAGAUAGAUGACCAUCCAAGACAGAACCCGGCUUAUAGUGCUGCUCAUAUU